AAUCUUCAAUCCUCCCAUCAUUACUUGAUGUGCAUGUCAUUUCAUAGACAAAUUUGUUACCUUCAUAAUUCCUAAAUGAAGUGAUAAUGCAACGUGUGAAUGAAACAGGCAGUUAUUGUAGUAAUCUAGUUUUCAUCUGUUGUGCCUUGCAUAUUGCUUGUGAAGCAAACCUUGUGUUUGGAUUCAUAAAAUUAGAUUUGAAAUAUAGGAUUUUUGUUUUCGACAAGAAAAAGAAAUAAAGAAUUUCAAAUACUAGAUAUUGAAAUUCAUGAAUUUAAAAUAAAAGGGAGGUUGGAUUGGAUUUAAAAUAAUAGUGGUCUAAAAGUUUUAAGCCUCUUUUCGUUUUUUCUUAAUUAAUUUGGUUCAAAUCCGAAUCCAUAAAUUUUUAGCAAAUCAAAACAAAGAAUUUUCUGAUUGCAAUCUAAGGGCCAAUCUUUGAAUCCAAAUACAAUGUAUGGAAUUAUUUGGUUUCUCAACGAGAAUAAAAAUGUUCAACUCUUAUCUAAAUUGCCAGAACCUAUCGUCCAAUAAAUUUCUUAAGUUUGAUAGUCCAUAUUUGAUGUAAUUUUUUAUCCUAUAUUUUCAUAUUAAUGCAAUUUUAAUCUAAUUGCAUGUAUUGCUCAUGUUCCAGAUAUUUUGUCCUAGGAGAUUUGAGCAUUGAUCUCUUCUGUUCCUGGAUUAUUUGUUUUGCAGAGACUCCUUUAUAAACAUUUUG
rnacentral:misc_RNA from 1 species